rnacentral:rRNA from 1 species
UCGAGGAUCUUCGGCAAUGAGCGCAAGCUUGACCGAGCGACGCCGCGUGAGCGAUGAAGGCCUUCGGGUUGUAAAGCUCUUUAGUGGGGGAGAAAAGCCCGCAAGGGUGUGAUCUAUCCCAAAAAUAAGCACGGGCUAAGUUCGUGCCAGCAGCCGCGGUAAGACGAACCGUGCGAACGUUGUUCGGAAUCACUGGGCUUAAAGGGAGCGUAGGCGGGCUAACAAGUCUGGGGUGAAAUGCCGCGGCUCAACCGUGGAACUGCCUUAGAUACUGUCGGCCUCGAGGGAGGUAGGGGCAUGCGGAACUGUAGGUGGAGCGGUGAAAUGCGUUGAUAUCUACAGGAACUCCGGUGGCGAAAGCGGCGUGCUGGACCUCUUCUGACGCUGAGGCUCGAAAGCUAGGGGAGCAAACGGGAUUAGAUACCCCCGUAGUCC